UGGCGAACGGGUGAGUAACACGUGAGUAACCUGCCCUUAACUCUGGGAUAAGCCUGGGAAACUAGGUCUAAUACCGGAUAGGAGCGCCUACCGCAUGGUGGGUGUUGGAAAGAUUUAUCGGUUUUGGAUGGACUCGCGGCCUAUCAGCUUGUUGGUGAGGUAAUGGCUCACCAAGGCGACGACGGGUAGCCGGCCUGAGAGGGUGACCGGCCACACUGGGACUGAGACACGGCCCAGAAUCCUACGGGAGGCAGCAGUGGGGAAUAUUGCACAAUGGGCGAAAGCCUGAUGCAGCGACGCCGCGUGAGGGAUGACGGCCUUCGGGUUGUAAACCUCUUUCAGUAGGGAAGAAGCGAAAGUGACGGUACCUGCAGAAGAAGCACCGGCUAACUACGUGCCAGCAGCCGCGGUAAUACGUAGGGUGCGAGCGUUAUCCGGAAUUAUUGGGCGUAAAGAGCUCGUAGGCGGUUUGUCGCGUCUGUCGUGAAAGUCCGGGGCUUAACCCCGGAUCUGCGGUGGGUACGGGCAGACUAGAGUGCAGUAGGGGAGACUGGAAUUCCUGGUGUAGCGGUGGAAUGCGCAGAUAUCAGGAGGAACACCGAUGGCGAAGGCAGGUCUCUGGGCUGUAACUGACGCUGAGGAGCGAAAGCAUGGGGAGCGAACAGGAUUAGAUACCCUGGUAGUCCAUGCCGUAAACGUUGGGCACUAGGUGUGGGGACCAUUCCACGGUUUCCGCGCCGCAGCUAACGCAUUAAGUGCCCCGCCUGGGGAGUACGGCCGCAAGGCUAAAACUCAAAGGAAUUGACGGGGGCCCGCACAAGCGGCGGAGCAUGCGGAUUAAUUCGAUGCAACGCGAAGAACCUUACCAAGGCUUGACAUGUUCUCGAUCGCCGUAGAGAUACGGUUUCCCCUUUGGGGCGGGUUCACAGGUGGUGCAUGGUUGUCGUCAGCUCGUGUCGUGAGAUGUUGGGUUAAGUCCCGCAACGAGCGCAACCCUCGUUCCAUGUUGCCAGCACGUAAUGGUGGGGACUCAUGGGAGACUGCCGGGGUCAACUCGGAGGAAGGUGAGGACGACGUCAAAUCAUCAUGCCCCUUAUGUCUUGGGCUUCACGCAUGCUACAAUGGCCGGUACAAUGGGUUGCGAUACUGUGAGGUGGAGCUAAUCCCAAAAAGCCGGUCUCAGUUCGGAUUGGGGUCUGCAACUCGACCCCAUGAAGUCGGAGUCGCUAGUAAUCGCAGAUCAGCAAUCGCUGCGGUGAAUACGUUCCCGGGCCUUGUACA
rnacentral:rRNA from 1 species